GUGCUGUCUUUUGCAAGCUACACAAUUAAGAGCUUAACUAUCAAUAAUGUAAUUUUGUACUCCUGGAAGAAUAUUCCUGAUCUAGGUAUCAAAGGUUUACGUAGGAAUAUAUUUACUAUAUAAUAUGAGAAAUUUAAAGAGCAGAGAUAAAAAGCCUUUUCAUUAAAGGCCAGGGUUUGAUCUACCACUAGCAUGACAUCUCUCUAAGCGAGAUCGAAGGUUCCCCCUAGGCCCUGUAGGACAUCUGUGUACCUAUCAGGAUCAUCUGAAAACUUCUCCAGGUCUGCCUUGAUCUGCUUUAAAUCAGAGAGGGAGCAGGGG
rnacentral:lncRNA from 1 species